AACAUGAGGACACAUGUCAACAAACCCCCCCUUUCCACAUGUCAUAAGAAAGGAAAAAGCCAUUUUUAUAUAUAAAGAUUGAAAAGGAGGGCUCUGGUCGACUAAUCGUCAUGCUAUCUCCAAUGAAUAAUGUGAAUCCUCAACUGCUUCUGUCUGAGUUAAAGGCUGGUCGGUAUAAGAAAUUUGUUGUUGCCCUUCUCCUCAGUUUUUGGGACGCAGAAAGUUGGAGAGAGCUUAUGGUUCUGGUUGAUUAGAAGGUAUGUUAUCUUUACUGAAUCAGUUGUUUCGAAAACUCAUUGUUGGAAAAGUGAUUUGUAACGUUUGAUUGUCAGAGUAUUGCUCUAUUUUUCAAGUGAUUUUGAGUUUCAAUUUUAGCGUCUAUUUCUAGGACUCUAAUGUGGGUUUGCUGUUUGAUUUGCUUCCAAUUUUAGGGGGAAACUCUGGCGUUCUUGAAGGCAAAAGUGUAAGGAAAGACUGAUAAUAUUAGUUGCUCCAAAAGUGUAUUCUAAGUAUCGAUGUUAAUCAUGUCUUUUUUUUAUAAAGGGCGGCUGUAUUCCUUGGUUACUGAAGCUAAUGACAAAUGAACUCUAUCAAUUAGCCGCUGUUGCGUUUUGUCUACUCCUAACUUGGGGGUCAUGAUAUCAACUAGGGAUCUCGAUAAACAUACAUUGGGCAAGUAAGUUGUGAUCAUGUAUUACCAAAAAGACUGCUUGCAUCUACUUGUCUCUUUUUUCAUCUCUCAGAACUGUUUUCUGUGUUCUCUCUGAUUUAAUUUGAUCAUAGUCGAGGUUCUCAUAGCAAGGUGAAUGUUAUGUCUAGCCUAGAAAGUAAUCAGUUGACAAGUAUGUAAUGUUAUACCCUUAAAGAGUCCAUAGACUGACCCAUGUGCUUUAUAUUUUGAUUCAGAUCGAACCAUCCUAAUAUGUUGUAUUAAACACUAUCGCAGACAUUUCCGAAAGAAUUUAUGUUUAUGUGUCAUGGGGCUGGUUGAUUCUUUAUUUGGAAAAGUUCCAAGGACGAUGCUUGCCGUAUGAGAGUGAUGUUGUGUUUGUGGUUGUCCUUAUGCUAAUUUUCUUCUUAAGUUUUGUACACCGAGUGACUGUUGAAGUUAUGUAUACGAAUGAACUUUAGUGAGUAUGAUCAACCAAGAAAACAAAGUCGAAGAUGGUGGUGAUGAGAAACCCAAAUCUGAAGUAAAAGAGACUAGAAACUCAAGGCAUAGAAGAGACGAAGACGAGGAUGGUCGAUGAUCUAAGCCGCCGAGGUCGCACUAUCGUUCACGAUCUAGAGAUAGAGAGGGAUAUGCAUAGAAGUAUCCGGGAGCAAAGAGACAAGAGAGUUGAUAGAGAUCGCAAGAAGGGUAGACAUAUAGAAGAAUUAAACUUCUUGGUUUUUUUUUUUACACUGCAGAAUUAGGUAAAUAAAUCAUUCUUAUCUCCAUUUCUUUCCUUCCCCAUUCAUUUCAACAAAAUUCCAUGAAAUGCAGAGAUUUCACUUUAUACACAAAUGCUGCUAUACCCUCUUCACAUUGUCUCUAUUAAUCAAUUGUUCAGUUACAUGGGGUUGAGUGGAUCAUCAAGGAUUAUCAGAUGUUUGAUGAAUUUCUUUGGAAGAAAAUGACCUGACUCCUGUUUGUUUUGUAUUUUAUAUGGUUUUCUGGUUUAUAAGGAUGAACUGAGGAAAAAGCUCAACUCUCUAUUCAGUGAGCUUAAAACGUCAGGAGCCAAAAUGGCAACAAACAUUUUUUGCGCUGUUGUUAAUAUGUCAUUCAACCUUGUGUCCCAUCAGCCAUCAAUGAAAUUGUAUCUGGUUCGGUUCGGACAAUGCAAAAUUGUUUUCAGACUGA